UACAGAGGGGGCAAGCGUUGUUCGGAAUUACUGGGCGUAAAGGGCGCGUAGGCGGCCUUCUAAGUCGAACGUGAAAUCCCCGGGCUCAACCCGGGAACUGCGUCCGAUACUGGAAGGCUUGAAUCCGGGAGAGGGAUGCGGAAUUCCAGGUGUAGCGGUGAAAUGCGUAGAUAUCUGGAGGAACACCGGUGGCGAAGGCGGCAUCCUGGACCACACCUGACGCUGAGGCGCGAAGGCCAGGGGAGCGAACGGG
rnacentral:rRNA from 1 species